UACGAAGGGGGCUAGCGUUGCUCGGAAUCACUGGGCGUAAAGCGCACGUAGGCGGCUUGUUAAGUCAGGGGUGAAAUCCUGGAGCUCAACUCCAGAACUGCCUUUGAUACUGGCGAGCUUGAGUUCGGGAGAGGUGAGUGGAACUGCGAGUGUAGAGGUGAAAUUCGUAGAUAUUAGGAAGAACACCGGUGGCGAAGGCGGCCCACUGGCUCGAUACUGACGCUGAGGUGCGAAAGCGUGGGGAGCAAACAGG
rnacentral:rRNA from 1 species